rnacentral:tRNA from 1 species
GAAGUUAUAGGUUAAAUGUAUUAAACCUUGGGCCUUCAAAGCCUAAAAUGAUCUACUCUAACUUUG